rnacentral:rRNA from 1 species
UACGGAGGGUGCGAGCGUUGUCCGGAAUCACUGGGCGUAAAGGGCUCGUAGGCGGUCCAUCGCGUCGGGAGUGAAAAGCUGGGGCUUAACCCCAGUCCUGCUUCCGAUACGGGUGGACUAGAGGUAGGUAGGGGAGAUCGGAAUUCCUGGUGUAGCGGUGAAAUGCGCAGAUAUCAGGAGGAACACCAAUUGCGAAGGCAGCUCGCUGGGACGUUACUGACGCUGAGACGCGAAAGCGUGGGGAGCAAACAGG